UACGAAGGGGGCUAGCGUUGCUCGGAAUCACUGGGCGUAAAGGGUGCGUAGGCGGGUCUUUAAGUCAGGGGGGAAAUCCUGGAGCUCAACUCCAGAACUGCCUUUGAUACUGAGGAUCUUGAGUUCGGGAGAGGUGAGUGGAACUGCGAGUGUAGAGGUGAAAUUCGUAGAUAUCGGGAGGAACACCAGUGGCGAAGGCGGCGAUCUGGGAAGAUACUGACGCUGAGGUGCGAAAGCGUGGGGAGCAAACAGG
rnacentral:rRNA from 1 species